rnacentral:rRNA from 1 species
UACGUAGGGUGCAAGCGUUGCCCGGAUUUAUUGGGCGUAAAGGGCGCGUAGGCGGUCACGCACGUCCGUUGUGAAAUCGCUCGGCUCAACUGGGCGGGGGCAGCGGAUACGGUGUGGCUGGAGCAAGCUAGGGGGCAAUGGAAUUCCCGGUGUAGUGGUGGAAUGCGUAGAUAUCGGGAGGAACACCAGUGGCGAAGGCGGUUGCCUGGAGCUUUGCUGACGCUGAUGCGCGAAAGCGUGGGGAGCGAUCCGG